rnacentral:rRNA from 1 species
GACCUGAUGCCGAGCCGAUUGUGGUGAAGUGGAUGAUCCUAUGCUGUCGAGACAAGC